UACGUAGGGUGCAAGCGUUGUCCGGAAUUAUUGGGCGUAAAGAGCUCGUAGGCGGUCUGUCACGUCGGCUGUGAAAACCCGAGGCUCAACCUCGGGCCUGCAGUCGAUACGGGCAAGCUAGAGUACUGCAGGGGAGACUGGAAUUCCUGGUGUAGCGGUGAAAUGCGCAGAUAUCAGGAGGAACACCGGUGGCGAAGGCGGGUCUCUGGUCAGUAACUGACGCUGAGGAGCGAAAGCAUGGGGAGCGAACAGG
rnacentral:rRNA from 1 species